GACGAACGCUGGCGGCGUGCUUAACACGUGCAAGUCGAACGGAAAGGCCCUGCUUUUGUGGGGUGCUCGAGUGGCGAACGGGUGAGUAACACGUGAGUAACCUGCCCUUGACUUUGGGAUAACUUCAGGAAACUGGGGCUAAUACCGGAUAGGAGCUCCUGCUGCAUGGUGGGGGUUGGAAAGUUUCGGCGGUUGGGGAUGGACUCGCGGCUUAUCAGCUUGUUGGUGGGGUAGUGGCUUACCAAGGCUUUGCCGGGUAGCCGGCCUGAGAGGGUGACCGGCCACAUUGGGACUGAGAUACGGCCCAGACUCCUACGGGGGGCAGCAGUGGGGAAUAUUGCACAAUGGGCGGAAGCCUGAUGCAGCAACGCCGCGUGCGGGAUGACGGCCUUCGGGUUGUAAACCGCUUUCGCCUGUGACGAAGCGUGAGUGACGGUAAUGGGUAAAGAAGCACCGGCUAACUACGUG
rnacentral:rRNA from 1 species